rnacentral:tRNA from 1 species
GAGAAUAUUGUUUAAUGGUAAAACAAUUGUCUUUUAAGCAAUUUAUACGUGGUUCGAUUCCAGUUAUUCUCA